UUUGGAAUGAGUACAAUUUAAAAACCUUAACGAGGAACAAUUGGAGGGCAAGUCUGGUGCCAGCAGCCGCGGUAAUUCCAGUUCCAAUAGUGUAUAUUAAAGUUGCUGCGGUUAAAAAGCUCGUAGUUGGAUUUCGGAGUUGUUAUCUGAACCUUCUCGCCCUAAAAAGUGGGGGGGCUAAGGUAGCAGUAGUUUUCAUCAUAGUCCAUCAGGAUCUUGAUGUGUACUGGGUGUUAACCUCCUUUUUUCUGGUACUUGCUAUCCAGCAAUGGGUAGUUUUGUCCAGAUAGUUUACUUUGAAAAAAUUAGAGUGUUCAAAGCAGGCAUAAUUGGCAUCAUGAAUACAUUAGCAUGGGAUAAUAGAAUAUGACAUUGGUCUUAUUUUGUUGGUUUCUAAGGCCAAAGUAAUGAUUGAUAGGGAUAGUUGGGG
rnacentral:rRNA from 1 species